CAUGGCGUCUGUCUUACGGAGCCGGUUGCGCUGCGAAGCGGUCCGUAUUUCGUGCCCACUUAGAGCACUGAACAUCCCACGUCUUGGUUUGACUUCCUGGUACAGGAUACUUGCACUUAGCAUGGAGUGAUGAAGCAGAGCAGUGUACUUUUAUGAAAUGUGGAGAUUUUAGCAGUAUAACAGCGGUUCAUUAAAAAAAAAUGUGUGCUGAAAAUAAAGUGUUCCUACCCACA
rnacentral:lncRNA from 1 species